GGGGCCGGGGGGGCACCUCUCGCGAAUGUUCUCUCUGCUUCCUGGCGUGUCCUACUUUGUUGCAGAGGACAGGGUGUCCAGCGAGCGGCGCCCCCAUUCUGAUGCCAUCCACACCGCCUAGGCUUCCAUGACAGCACGCCCGUGCCCUUACAGCACGAAUUCCCUGGGGGACCGGUAAAAGGGACCGCGCGCAAGAAAACCACAGAGUGCUUUUUGUAACGUGCUGCAUUUUCUGACGCUGCGAAACGCUCACGUGGCAUGGGCACGCGUUCCCUCUCAGCUUACCACUGUCAAGAUGUUCAGUCUGGGCUUGCUCGCCGCUGUUUUUAGGGUAUUUUAUUCAGCAUUAAACUUGAAAGCCUAAUUUGAUGGACACGGCAGAAAGAUUGAUGCAGAAAUGGUUGCUGUUUAUGCUCUCAGCCUUCUGGAAUAGCGGAAAAAUACUCACCUCUCCUGAACAUUUGCUCCGCUGCGGUUGCCAAAUUAUCUACCAGCCACUCUCCAAUCUGACAGCAUGUGCCUUUUAAUUCAAGGAUCUUCUAGGGCUUUGGGCGCUCAUCACCUCUGUGGAAUGCCACCCAAGAGGAGGCAAGGAGGGAGAUGACGAUAGAACAGAAGAGUUGUGUGGCGGGCCCUCAGCAGCCCCGGGUCUCAACCACUGGGACGGUCUUUUAUCUCCAGCUGAGAAGCUCAUUUUUCUUUCUGUCGCCCUGUUCCACACUCGCCCCAUCCCUGCUUUUUGUUAGCCAUAUAAAGAUAAGAAAGAGACCGAGGAAUUGAGGAAUUAUGCCUCCUGUUCUCCAAGUGGACGUUGGAGCACAGAUGGAGCCAAGGAAUCCCUGCAUUAGUUUCUUAAAAUCAAACUUUCAUCGAUGUCAGCAGCUUAAUCCCCCCCCCUCGCCUUAAGCAGUCAUUUUGUUCCCCUAAAUACUAUGGUUUCUGCAGAGGUCAUACUGUUUAAUCUUCCCAGUUUCAGAGUUUGAAAGUGAUUUACAGUGUAGUGGCCAUAUGAUGUGGACUAGUACCUACGCAUCUCAAGACAAGCUGGGAGUUACUAUGUCCAUUUUGCGUCGACCAAGUUCUUCACCCUUGUUUCUGAAAUCCUCCAUUUCCUUGUAUAAAAAUGUGUUGGAAGUUAUUUUCUCACAUGAUAAACUAGGUGCCACCUGAUUCGUGUUCCUAGGUCUCAGACUCCACCUUCCUUUUCCAUAGUUAUUCUUUAUUCACCCCACCUCACCCCCCAAGUCCAUGCCGACGAUUAUGUGACCCUGGAAAACCAUCCUUUAAAAAGCCAUGUACGUUCCAUCCUGGGGAUCAUCCUUUUAGGAAGAAAGAGAGAGAACUCAUCCCUACAGAGUGGGAAGGUCCUGGAUGGACAAGGUGAGCAUUUGUGAGUGUCAUGCAGGAUCUUAUGAAGUCCUCCACCUUGUUGUCACCAAGGAGACCCCAUGGGGGGAGGCCAGGGGCAGGUGGUCUUGGAGAGAAGCAACUCUCAGGAUAUUCCUUUUUCGGCUGAGUCAGAACCCAUGUUGAGUUGUUUGCCAUGGCUACA